rnacentral:tRNA from 1 species
GGUAAAAUGGCUGAUUAAAGUGAUAAACUGUAAAUUUAUUUAUGAGAAGUUUUUCUCUUUUACCA